rnacentral:lncRNA from 1 species
CUUGCACAAGCUAGAUGAUAGGGGCAGCAAUGACACUUCUUGGCAAUGAUAGGAGUCAAUCUUGGAGAUUCAAGAUUUCAGAUUUUGGGCCAAAUAUAAUAGGGAAAAAUGGAAACAAUGUGGUGAAGGAUAUGAUGGAAACUCUUGUGGAAAAAAGAAAAGGAAAAGAUGAUAAAUUGAAACUAUUAGCGGCGACAACAAUGGAGGAAGA